GUUGAAAUCAGGAAGGAAAGCUCCAAAAUCUAUUUAUUUUUCACCUCUGCCGACGAGAUGUAUGCUUGCAAGGAGUGAAGAGAAUGACUCGCUAUAUCCUCCAACUUAUCGUGUGUGCAACGUAUACUUGUGCAUAUAACAAUUAAGCAUUACGGAAACCUGCCUGGCAAAAAAAAGAUUUUUCACAAUCCUGGGGAGCAGACAAGGCUGUGGAUGGGAUGUAUACUGACCGUAGUGCUCUGGGUAACCAGUGUACAAUAUCAGCAAACAAACAACAGACAGCAGAAUGGAGAGUAGAUUUACAGAGUGUGGUCAGCAUCAGUUACAUCAACAUCUUCUACAGGACGGAUAACAGACAAAGUCCCAGUCAUUAUGUGGGAAGAUUUGCUGGGUUUUUUCUCUAUGUUUCAAAUACAACAUCAAAAUCAGAUGGUCAUCUGUGUUUUCAUGAGAUUCAGACCGUUAACACUACACCUGUAGAGGACCAGAGGAUCAACUGUUCUGUUCAUGGCCGUUAUGUCAUCUACUAUAACGAGCGUUCUACGGGUGUAACUUAUCCAAAUUACUACUCCGAAUAUGCCUUCAACGAAUUAUGUGAAGUUGAAG